rnacentral:rRNA from 1 species
AACGUAGGAGACAAACGUUAUCCGGAGUUACUGGGCGUAAAGAGUAUGUAGGCGGUUGGGUAAGUUUGGUGUGAAAUCUCCCGGCUUAACUGGGAGGGUGCGCUAAAGACUGCCUGGCUCGAGUGUGGGAGAGGUGAGUGGAACUGCGAGUGUAGAGGUGAAAUUCGUAGAUAUUCGCAAGAACACCAGUGGCGAAGGCGGCUCACUGGCCCAUAACUGACGCUGAGGCACGAAAGCGUGGGGAGCAAACAGG